rnacentral:rRNA from 1 species
GAAUUUGAUCUUGGUUCAGAUUGAACGCUGGCGGCGUGGAUGAGGCAUGCAAGUCGAACGGAAUAAUGACUUCGGUUGUUAUUUAGUGGCGGAAGGGUUAGUAAUACAUAGAUAAUCUGUCCUCAACUUGGGAAUAACGGUUGGAAACGACCGCUAAUACCGAAUGUGGUAUGUUUAGGCAUCUAAAACAUAUUAAAGAAGGGGAUCUUCGGACCUUUCGGUUGAGGGAGAGUCUAUGGGAUAUCAGCUUGUUGGUGGGGUAAUGGCCUACCAAGGCUUUGACGUCUAGGCGGAUUGAGAGAUUGACCGCCAACACUGGGACUGAGACACUGCCCAGACUUCUACGGAAGGCUGCAGUCGAGAAUCUUUCGCAAUGGACGAAAGUCUGACGAAGCGAC